rnacentral:rRNA from 1 species
UACGAAGGGGGGCUAGCGUUGCUCGGAAUCACUGGGCGUAAAGGGCGCGUAGGCGGCCAUUCAAGUCAGAGGUGAAAGCCCAAGGCUCAACCUUGGAACUGCCUUUGAUACUGUUUGGCUUGAGACCGGUAGAGGUAAGUGGAACUGCGAGUGUAGAGGUGAAAUUCGUAGAUAUUCGCAAGAACACCAGUGGCGAAGGCGGCUCACUGGCCCGAUACGUGACGCUGAGGCACGAAAGCGUGGGGAGCGAACAGG